AUAGUGUGCCCUGAUUCUCAUCAGAGACUACACCUCUUAUACGCCAGGUGGUUUUCGGACCCCUGGCAGUAUAAUGCGUCCACCCUUUGUGAAAUCUAACCUAUGCUUCGGCAGCACUCUUAGCGGGUAAAACUGCUAGAGGGGUAAGGCUGUCAGAAGCCCACUAUCAAACUAGUUGAUGAAAUGUCAUGCAGUCUGAUAACUACUAUUUGAGAAAUCAAAUUAUGUUA
rnacentral:misc_RNA from 1 species